AGAGUUUGAUCCUGGCUCAGAACGAACGCUGGCGGCAGGCCUAACACAUGCAAGUCGAGCGCUGUAGCAAUACAGAGCGGCGCACGGGUGAGUAACACGUGGGAACGUGCCCUUUGGUUCGGAAUAACUCAGGGAAACUUGAGCUAAUACCGGAUGAGCCCUAACGGGGAAAGAUUUAUCGCCGAAGGAGCGGCCCGCGUUGGAUUAGCUAGUUGGUGGGGUAAAAGCCUACCAAGGCAACGAUCCAUAGCUGGUUUGAGAGAACGACCAGCCACACUGGGACUGAGACACGGCCCAGACUCCUACGGGAGGCAGCAGUGGGGAAUCUUGGACAAUGGGGGAAACCCUGAUCCAGCCAUGCCGCGUGAGUGAUGAAGGCCCUAGGGUUGUAAAACUCUUUCGGCGGGGACGAUAAUGACGGUACCCGCAGAAGAAGCUCCGGCUAACUUCGUGCCAGCAGCCGCGGUAAUACGAAGGGGGCUAGCGUUGUUCGGAAUUACUGGGCGUAAAGCGCGCGCAGGCGGUUCUUCAAGUCAGAGGUGAAAGCCCAGGGCUCAACCCUGGAAUGGCCUUUGAGACUAGAGGACUUGGGUACGGGAGAGGUGAGUGGAAUUCCGAGUGUAGAGGUGAAAUUCGUAGAUAUUCGGAAGAACACCAGUGGCGAAGGCGGCUCACUGGCCCGUUACCGACGCUCAGGCGCGACAGCGUGGGGAGCAAACAGGAUUAGAUACCCCAGUAGUCC
rnacentral:rRNA from 1 species